CAGCCGCCGCGGUAAUACGAGGGGGGCAAGCGUUGUUCGGAAUUAUUGGGCGUAAAGGGUGCGUAGGCGGCUUGACAAGUCUUGUGUGAAAUCUAUGGGCUCAACCCAUAGUCUGCACGGGAAACUGUCGGGCUUGAGAAUGGGAGAGGUGAGUGGAAUUUCCGGCGUAGCGGUGAAAUGCGUAGAUAUCGGAAGGAACACCUGUGGCGAAAGCGGCUCACUGGACCAUUUCUGACGCUGAUGCACGAAAGCUAGGGGAGCAAACAGGAUUAGAUACCCGGGUAGUCCCUGUCUCUUAUAC
rnacentral:rRNA from 1 species